GGGGAGGAGGGGGGGGAGGAGGAGGUGAAGAGGAAAGCAGUGAGCCACAAGGGAACGAUUCUUUCAGGAAAUGUUGUGCAGGCAAGACGUGUGUGCCGAGGAGUGUGUCUGUCCACUGCAUCCUCACGAGUUUGGUUAACGUCGUAAGCAGCAGUGUCUACAACAAGGGAGAACGUCUGGUCAUGCCGCCCACACCUACACACGGGCAAGUCUCGGGCGUCAGUCAGGCGAUGGAGCACGAGUGUCAGCACGUCCCGCCACAAGGCUAUCAGCGGCGUCCCUACAUCUCCGCUCUACCAACUUGAGCCACAUCUGUUUACACAAGCGAACUCGUCAGCCACAGCGGCGCCUGAAUCGGACCUGCACCCGCCCAAGUGUCUGAAGCCCCGGUAUUCUGUUGGUGCUCCUCAUCGGUGUCCAUGUGGUAGCAGUCUGCCUCUUCAGAAGGGGACGCAGACCGCGGAGGCGUGGGGCCCGGCACAGUUCCUGCCAUUACGGAAGGGAGAACCAAACCAGCGUGUCCUAACAAACCCCAACCUGCCGCAGGAACUGGCUCCUCUGCACUGGAAGACGCCAGCCACUGUCUCACAACACACGGGGAGGGAGGACAGACUGCCUCGCUUCAUCUACAACACAGGGAGCCAUCCAGGGAGGGAGGACAGACUGCCUCGCUUCAUCUACAACAUACGGAGCCAUCCAGGGAGGGAGGACAGACUGCCUCGCUUCAUCUACAACACACGGAGCCAUCCAGGGAGGGACAGACUGCCUCGCUUCAUCUACCAACACACGGAGCCAUCCAGGGAGGGACAGACUGCCUCGCUUCAUCUACAACAUACGGAGCCAUCCAGGGAGGGACAGACUGCCUCGCUUCAUCUACAACAUACGGAGCCAUCCAGGGAGGGAGGACAGACUGCCUCGCUUAUCUGAUGUAACCAAUACAUGUUUGCUAGUCACUUGUGAUGUCAUUCCUUCCAUCUAUGAAUGUGCCCACGUGAAUGUAAUGUAGGCCUACUUACUUAUUACCCACAUGACUAGUGUUACUACUCAAUAAAUCCUGACUAAUGAAA
rnacentral:misc_RNA from 1 species